AGAAAUGAGAUGGGGGAAAAGGAGCAAAGAUUUGAAGGGUAAGGGGGUUUGACCUGCUGCCGUGGGCUUUGAAGAUGAGGAAGGGGGCCAUGAGCCAAGGAAUGCAGGUGCCUCCAGAGGCUGGAAACUGCCCUCAGCUGACAGCCAGCAGGGAAACGGAGACGCCAGUCCUACAACCUCAGGGAAAUAAAAUCUGCCAACAACCCGAGUGAGGAGGAAACGGAUCCUCCCCCAUGGCUUCCAGAAAGGAACACAGCCUGCGGACGCCUGUUUAAGGGGGGUGAGCCCCGUGUUGGACUUCUGGCCUCCAGGACUGUAAGACGAUAAAUUUGUGUCGCUUAAGCUGCGAAGUUUGUAGUCAUUCGUGAUGGCAGCCACAGGAAACCAACACAGUGUGGAAAUGACUCUUUCUUUCCGCAAGGGCGCUGUGCGUGGCCGAGGGUCCACCGUGGAUGACCGGGGGCUCUGCUGUGGACAAGUCCUCCAAAGGAUGUGGGUCUCAUGGGAGCUGCAGGGGGCCCCCAAGCUGGGACCCUGCUGACCUCAUGACCUUUAGAAAUGGAUGGACAGCCUCAACUCAGACGGAAGAUUCACUCCUGAACCAGAUCUCAGCACAGUACCUGCACACAGUCAGCGCUCAAUAAAUGUCUAUUGAAUGCACGGCGAGCUGGCCCUUGCUCAGCUGGGUCAGAGAAGUUGGAUCUCAGGUCUAAAGCGCCUCCGCGACCUUGCGGCCCAAAAAGUCCUGCUGGUCAACCAGGGUGACACCAAGGGCAGUUCCUCUGGCCUCUCCAAGCUUCAGGGGCCGACACCAGAGACUCUACCCGGGCUGCAUCCUGGGAGCACCUCCUCUCCCCAGGGAGGUGGGGAGGUGGCUGCUUCACCGGUGCGUGCCUGUGUGUAUCAACUGCCACCGCUUUUCCAGCCUUGGUAACAUUUGGAGUUAUAGGAUCACCAGACGGGAGGCCACACCCAAUACACCGCGGACACCCUGUGCUCCAGCAUCUGCUAUCUCAAUCUCCCACAAGCCCACACCCAGCACAUUGACCCUGCAAUACUUGAACAAGACAGCGCCCCAUUAUCCAACAUCUAAUACCAUAUCAACAUUUGGGGCGUAGGAUAAUACUCUAGCAUCUAAAAUCCCAAUUUCCCAUCAGCCAGCACCGAUACCUCAUUACCCAGACUGGCCAAUACUGAAGAACCCCAACGCGUCAGACAUUCAGACCCCCUACCUCUGGCCUGUUGAAACCCAACACAUGGACAUCCCAACUUCCAAUAAUGUUGACACCCCAACUUCCCUUUAGACAAUAGGCAACAUACUCACACCCAAACCAGCUCCUACCCCAUCCCUAGUCACGUCCUGUGUGGACAUUCCAAUGUUCGAUUGCCAUCAUAUCCCAAACACUGGCCAUCACCUAAGAUGCUGACACCCAAAUGCCAAAACACCCCCAUGGGCAGCACGUCCCUUUUCCAAUAUCUAUGAACUCAUCUUCAGUCGGAACACAGCCAGCACACCCAGUACCCGAAGAGGCCCACCUCCAACGUGGGGAUAUCCCACCCCCAAUUCUUCUGAAGCCCCAACACUCCCCUGGCCAUACCCACCCUCAUACUCCAGCCUCCCCCGGAUGAUGGGCAAUGCAGACCAGCAUCCGGCCCUCGGUGCGUAUUCCUUACUCCAGUAUCUAACCCUUAGCUCCCCAUGCAGCUGUCACUCUGACACCCGCAGGUUCAGUUCCCUAAGUCCUUAGCAGUCAACGCUCAAAAUAUAUGGUGGCCCCAACAUCUGUGUGUGAACAGCUGUACACCCGCGAGGUUCACUGGCAACACCUGGAUUCCUCCCCCAUCUACUGCCCAGUCCUGCCACACCUGCGAGAACCUUUGUCACCUGGGACCCCAGGUUUGGGUGAGGAAUAAAGGAGGUGAUUAUGUGUAAAGUGAUCAGAACAGUGCUGGACACUUAGCAGGCACGCAGGCAGCAAAUAAUAAUAAUAAUUACUAUUAGUCUGUACUUUUCUGGGAUCCCUGGGAGAUUUUAUUUGUGUUUGAUUAAAACAGCGAAACAUCAAAAACCAGGAGAUAAUAUUUUUCAUUGGCAAGUGUAAAUAUUAGUCCGUACACGAACUAGAGUGCUGGAUUUGAAUGUUCUUAAAAUGGAAACUCAUUCCUUUUAUUUUGUUUACUUAAUAUUUCAAAUUUUUGAGGUAUAAUUGACAAAAUUGUAAGAUACUUUGUGUACAAGACCUUCUUUUAAAAUUGCUCCUUGUUCUAACAGUAAAGAAUGAAUCAAAAAAGUAAAGUGACUCAUCAGCGGCACGACUUAGUGGCUUCUCAAAUGGCUCUGUUUGUCGCUAUUUCAGUUUUGCUAAAAUUCACCAAGUU
ensembl:lncRNA